GGAGGGGUCUCCGACGCCGUCCGAGCCUCCUCACGUCGUUGCCGCUCCACCCGAGUCGGCUGCCGUCCCGCCAGCAGCUGGAGUUCCUCCUCUCCCGCCCCUGCUUCACCUGCGAGCUCGCGCCGCCAUCCCCGACGCUGUCGCCAUCGCUGCACUAGAUCUCCGCCGAGUCGUUGUCGCCCACCACCAUCUGCUACAAUGUAGUCCCGACGCUGACCAACCGAGAGAGGAAGGAGAUCGGAGGAGGUCUAGAGACCCAGAUUUGAGGACGAGGGUCGGGCAAGGGCCAGAUUUGGAAUCGAUCGAGCUCCGUCGCCCCCCUCUGUCCCUGAUGUUGUCCGAGCUGCUACCCUUCGAGCGACGCCGGGGACUCCAUCACCGUAGUUGCUGUUUUCGCGGUUGCCGAAGCUUCGGACGCUUGUCGUUGUUGUAGCCCUCAGCCAAGCCGACGCCCAGCCCUGUCGCCGAGCCACCGCACGCCUCCGCCUCUGGUCCAACACACAGCACCAGCCCUCGAGCCACCUCCUCGCUGCCCGACGCCGUCUGUGCUGCUGCCCUCCGAACGUCGCUUCCUGCAGCCCGAAGCUACGACGCCGCCGUUGCAAUUCUCGCCGCUUCAAACCGACGCCGUCCUC
rnacentral:lncRNA from 1 species